ACAACGGUCCUUUUCAGGGCCACAAUUUAUAAUUUUAUUUAUUUAU
rfam:Aedes aegypti strain Liverpool supercont1.297 genomic scaffold, whole genome shotgun sequence.